ensembl:snRNA U6 U6 spliceosomal RNA
GUGCUUGCUUCAGCAGCGCAUAUACUAAAAUUGGAAUGAUACGGAGAAGAUUAGCAUGGCCCCUGCGCAAGGAUGACACACAAAUUCGUGAAGCGUUCCAUAUUUUU